rnacentral:tRNA from 1 species
UCCCCGGUGGUCUAGUGGUUAAGACUCCAACUGCUAAAGCAGGAGAGACAGGUUCGAUUCCUGAUCUGGGAA